CAGCGCACUGUCUGUGCCUUUCCCCUCCUGCACCCAGAACUGUCCCCACAGCCCCCACCAUGCAGUCUGCCCUCACUUUGGUUUCCAUCCUGAUCCUACUUCAAGGUGUCCAGGGCGAGAUCCAGCUGGAGGAGUCUGGAGGAGAUGUGAAACAGCCUGGAGGGUCUCUCCGCCUCUCCUGUAAAGCCUCUGGAUUCACCUUUAGCAGCUAUGCAAUGCACUGGGUCCGCCAGGCUCCAGGGAAGGGGCUCGAGUGGGUUGCAGCAAUAAGUAGUAGUGGUAGCAGUACAUACUACGCAGACUCUGUGAAAGGCCGAUUCACCAUCACCAGAGACAACUCCAACAGCCUGCUGAAUCUGCAAAUGAACAGCCUGAAAACCGAGGACAUGGCCCUCUAUUACUGUGCGAAAGACACAAUGAGAGAAACCACAUCCUGA